rnacentral:rRNA from 1 species
AACGGACGAGAAGCUUGCUUCUCUGAUGUCAGCGGCGGACGGGUGAGUAACGCCUAGGAAUCUGCCUGGUAGUGGGGGACAACGUUUCGAAAGGAACGCUAAUACCGCAUACGUCCUACGGGAGAAAGCAGGGGACCUUCGGGCCUUGCGCUAUCAGAUGAGCCUAGGUCGGAUUAGCUAGUUGGUGAGGUAAUGGCUCACCAAGGCGACGAUCCGUAACUGGUCUGAGAGGAUGAUCAGUCACACUGGAACUGAGACACGGUCCAGACUCCUACGGGAGGCAGCAGUGGGGAAUAUUGGACAAUGGGCGAAAGCCUGAUCCAGCCAUGCCGCGUGUGUGAAGAAGGUCUUCGGAUUGUAAAGCACUUUAAGUUGGGAGGAAGGGCAUUAACCUAAUACGUUAGUGUUUUGACGUUACCGACAGAAUAAGCACCGGCUAACUCUGUGCCAGCAGCCGCGGUAAUACAGAGGGUGCAAGCGUUAAUCGGAAUUACUGGGCGUAAAGCGCGCGUAGGUGGUUUGUUAAGUUGAAUGUGAAAGCCCCGGGCUCAACCUGGGAACUGCAUCCAAAACUGGCAAGCUAGAGUACGGUAGAGGGUGGUGGAAUUUCCUGUGUAGCGGUGAAAUGCGUAGAUAUAGGAAGGAACACCAGUGGCGAAGGC